AUUGAACGCUGGCGGCAGGCCUAACACAUGCAAGUCGAACGAGUGGCGGACGGGUGAGUAAUGUCUGGGAAACUGCCUGGUGGAGGGGGAUAACUACUGGAAACGGUAGCUAAUACCGCAUACCAUCGGAUGUGCCCAGAGGGGAUUAGCUAGUAGGUGGGGUAACGCCUCCCCUAGGCGACGAUCCCUAGCUGGUCUGAGAGGAUGACCAGCCACACGGGAACGUAGACACGUUCCAGACUCCUACGGGUGGCAGCAGUGGGGAAUAUUGCACAAUGGUCGCAAGCCUGAUGCAGCCAUGCCGCGUGUAUUAAGAAGGCCUUCGGGUUGUAAAGUACUUUCAGCGGGGAGGCGUUACCCGCAGAAGAAGCACCGGCUAACUCCGUGCCAGCCGCCGCGGUAAUAC
rnacentral:rRNA from 1 species